rnacentral:rRNA from 1 species
UUCUGGCUCAGGAUGAACGCGUAGCGACAGGCUAACACAUACAAGUCGAGGGGCAUCACGGGAGUAGCAAUACAACUGGUGGCGACCGGCGCACGGGUGAGUAACGCGUAUGCAACCUACCUAUCGAGAGGGGAAUAACCCGGCGAAAGUCGGACUAAUACCGCAUAAAACAGGGGCACCGCAUGGUGAUAUUGUUAAAGAAAUUCGCUGAUAGAUGGGCAUGCGUUCCAUUAGGUAGUUGGUGAGGUAACGGCUCACCAAGCCGACGAUGGAUAGGGGAACUGAGAGGUUGGUCUCCCACACUGGUACUGAGACACGGACCAGACUCCUACGGGAGGCAGCAGUGAGGAAUAUUGGUCAAUGGGCGGGAGCCUGAACCAGCCAAGUCGCGGUGAAGGAAGAAGGAUCUAUGGUUCGUAAACUUCUUUUGCAGGGGAAUAAAGUGCAGGACGUGUCCUGUUUUGUAUGUACCCUGAGAAUAAGGAUCGGCUAACUCCGUGCCAGCCGCCGC